GAUGAACGCUGGCGGCGUGCUUAACACAUGCAAGUCGAACGAAGCACUUAAGAUUGAUUCUUCGGAUGACGUCUUUUGUGCCUUAGUGGCGGACGGGGGAGUAACGCGUGGGUAACCUGCCUCACACAGGGGGAUAACAGUUAGUAAUGACUGAUAAUACCGCAUACCCCGAUAGGAUCGCAUAGACCCGACGGCAAAGAUUUAUCGGUGUGAGAUGGACCCGCAUCUGAUUAGCUAGUUGGUGAGGUAACGGCCCACCAAGGCGACGAGCAGUAGCCGGGCUGAGAGGGUGAACGGCAACAUUGGGACUGAGACACGGACCAAACUCCUGCGGGAGGCAGCAAUGGGGAAUAUUGCACAAUGGGGGAAACCCUGAUGCAGCGACGCCGCGUGAGUGAAGAAGUAGUGCGGUAUGUAAAGCUCUAUGAGCAGGGAAGAAAAUGACGGUACCUGACUAAGAAGCCCCGGCUAACUACGUG
rnacentral:rRNA from 1 species